rnacentral:rRNA from 1 species
UACAGAGGGUGCGAGCGUUAAUCGGAAUUAUUGGGCGUAAAGCGCGUGUAGGCGGCUUAGCAAGUCGGGCGUGAAAGCCCUCGGCUCAACCGAGGAAGUGCACCCGAAACUGCUGAGCUUGAGUGCCGGAGAGGAUGGCGGAAUACCCCAAGUAGAGGUGAAAUUCGUAGAUAUGGGGUGGAACACCGGUGGCGAAGGCGGCCAUCUGGACGGUAACUGACGCUGAGACGCGAAAGCGUGGGUAGCAAACAGG